rnacentral:rRNA from 1 species
CACGUAGGGGGCAAGCGUUGUCCGGAUUUAUUGGGCGUAAAGAGCUCGUAGGUGGUUCGGUAAGUCGGGUGUGAAACCUCCAGGCUCAACCUGGAGACGCCACCCGAUACUGCUGUGACUGGAGUCCGGUAGGGGAGCGUGGAAUUCCCGGUGUAGCGGUGAAAUGCGCAGAUAUCGGGAAGAACACCCGUGGCGAAGGCGGCUCUCUAGUACGGUACUGACGCUGAGACGCGAAAGCGUGGGGAGCGAACAGG